AGAGUUUGAUCCUGGCUCAGGAUGAACGCUAGCUACAGGCUUAACACAUGCAAGUCGAGGGGCAGCAUCAUCAAAGCUUGCUUUGAUGGAUGGCGACCGGCGCACGGGUGAGUAACACGUAUCCAACCUGCCGACAACACUGGGAUAGCCUUUCGAAAGAAAGAUUAAUACCGGAUGGCAUAAUUAUUCCGCAUGGGAUAAUUAUUAAAGAAUUUCGGUUGUCGAUGGGGAUGCGUUCCAUUAGGCAGUUGGCGGGGUAACGGCCCACCAAACCAACGAUGGAUAGGGGUUCUGAGAGGAAGGUCCCCCACAUUGGAACUGAGACACGGUCCAAACUCCUACGGGAGGCAGCAGUGAGGAAUAUUGGUCAAUGGACGAGAGUCUGAACCAGCCAAGUAGCGUGAAGGAUGACUGCCCUAUGGGUUGUAAACUUCUUUUAUACGGGAAUAAAGUGAGGCACGUGUGCCUUUUUGUAUGUACCGUAUGAAUAAGGAUCGGCUAACUCCGUGCCAGCAGCCGCGGUAAUACGGAGGAUCCGAGCGUUAUCCGGAUUUAUUGGGUUUAAAGGGAGCGUAGGCGGGUUGUUAAGUCAGUUGUGAAAGUUUGCGGCUCAACCGUAAAAUUGCAGUUGAUACUGGCGACCUUGAGUGCAACAGAGGUAGGCGGAAUUCGUGGUGUAGCGGUGAAAUGCUUAGAUAUCACGAAGAACUCCGAUUGCGAAGGCAGCUUGCUGGACUGUAACUGACGCUGAUGCUCGAAAGUGUGGGUAUCAAACAGGAUUAGAUACCCUGGUAGUCCACACAGUAAACGAUGAAUACUCGCUGUUUGCGAUAUACAGUAAGCGGCCAAGCGAAAGCAUUAAGUAUUCCACCUGGGGAGUACGCCGGCAACGGUGAAACUCAAAGGAAUUGACGGGGGCCC
rnacentral:rRNA from 1 species